GACGAACGCUGGCGGCGUGCCUAAUACAUGCAAGUAGAACGCUGAAGAGAGGAGCUUGCUCUUCUUGGAUGAGUUGCGAACGGGUGAGUAACGCGUAGGUAACCUGCCUGGUAGCGGGGGAUAACUAUUGGAAACGAUAGCUAAUACCGCAUAAAAUUGAUUAUUGCAUGAUAGUCAAUUGAAAGGUGCAACUGCACCACUACCAGAUGGACCUGCGUUGUAUUAGCUAGUUGGUGGGGUAACGGCUCACCAAGGCGACGAUACAUAGCCGACCUGAGAGGGUGAUCGGCCACACUGGGACUGAGACACGGCCCAGACUCCUACGGGAGGCAGCAGUAGGGAAUCUUCGGCAAUGGACGGAAGUCUGACCGAGCCUACGCCGCGUGAGUGAAGAAGGUUUUCGGAUCGUAAAGCUCUGUUGUAAGAGAAGAACGAGUGUGAGAGUGGAAAGUUCAC
rnacentral:rRNA from 1 species